UUUUUCAUGUAAGAGCCCAAA
rnacentral:miRNA from 1 species